rnacentral:rRNA from 1 species
AGCGAACGCUGGCGGCAGGCCUAACACAUGCAAGUCGAACGAACCUUUCGGGGUUAGUGGCGGACGGGUGAGUAACACGUGGGAACGUGCCUUUAAGUUCGGAAUAACUCAGGGAAACUUGUGCUAAUACCGAAUGUGCCCUUCGGGGGAAAGAUUUAUCGCCUUUAGAGCGGCCCGCGUCUGAUUAGCUAGUUGGUUGAGGUAAUGGCUCACCAAGGCGUCGAUCAGUAGCUGGUCUGAGAGGAUGAUCAGCCACAUUGGGACUGAGACACGGCCCAAACUCCUACGGGAGGCAGCAGUGGGGAAUCUUGCGCAAUGGGCGAAAGCCUGACGCAGCCAUGCCGCGUGAAUGAUGAAGGUCUUAGGAUUGUAAAAUUCUUUCACCGGGGACGAUAAUGACGGUACCCGGAGAAGAAGCCCCGGCUAACUUCGUG